GCCAGACUCCUACGGGAGGCAGCAGUGGGGAAUAUUGGACAAUGGGGGGAACCCUGAUCCAGCGACGCCGCGUGAGUGAAGAAGUAUUUCGGUAUGUAAAGCUCUAUCAGCAGGGAAGAAAGAAAUGACGGUACCUGACUAAGAAGCCUCGGCUAACUACGUGCCAGCAGCCGCGGUGAUACGUAGGGGGCAAGCGUUAUCCGGAAUUACUGGGCGUAAAGGGCGCGUAGGUGGGCGCUUAAGUCAGGUGUGAAAACUCCGGGCUCAACCUGGAGACUGCACUUGAAACUGGGUGUCUUGAGGGCAGGAGAGGAAAGUGGAAUUCCUAGUGUAGCGGUGAAAUGCGUAGAUAUUAGGAGGAACACCAGUGGCGAAGGCGACUUUCUGGACGGUACCUGACGCUGAGGCGCGAAAGCGUGGGGAGCGAACGGGAUUAGAUACCCUCGUAUCG
rnacentral:rRNA from 1 species